GAUGAACGCUGGCGGCGUGCCUAUUACAUGCAAGUCGAGCGAACGGACGAGGAGCUUGCUCCUCUGACGUUAGCGGCGGACGGGUGAGUAACACGUGGAUAACCUACCUAUAAGACUGGGAUAACUUCGGGAAACCGGAGCUAAUACCGGAUAAUAUAUUGAACCGCAUGGUUCAAUAGUGAAAGACGGUUUUGCUGUCACUUAUAGAUGGAUCCGCGCCGCAUUAGCUAGUUGGUAAGGUAACGGCUUACCAAGGCGACGAUGCGUAGCCGACCUGAGAGGGUGAUCGGCCACACUGGAACUGAGACACGGUCCAGACUCCUACGGGAGGCAGCAGUAGGGAAUCUUCCGCAAUGGGCGAAAGCCUGACGGAGCAACGCCGCGUGAGUGAUGAAGGUCUUCGGAUCGUAAAACUCUGUUAUUAGGGAAGAACAAAUGUGUAAGUAACUAUGCACGUCUUGACGGUACCUAAUCAGAAAGCCACGGCUAACUACGUG
rnacentral:rRNA from 1 species